CUGUUCGGCAGGGUAGCGUCGGCAGCCUACGUACAAGCAGCAGGAUUCAUCAGUGCCAAGUUGGACGUGGUACCCUGUACCGUCGGAAUCCCCAUCAAGGAAGAUUUCAUCGACAACGACUGCGACGGGCUACUGGACGAGGAAGUGCGAAAUGGCAAAGACGAUGAUGGC